rnacentral:rRNA from 1 species
UACGGAGGGUGCAAGCGUUAUCCGGAUUCACUGGGGUUUAAAGGGUGCGUAGGUGGGCAGGUAAGUCAGUGGUGAAAUCUCCGGGCUUAACCCGGAACUGCCGUUGAUACUAUCUGUCUUGAAUAUUGUGGAGGUAAGCGGAAUAUGUCAUGUAGCGGUGAAAUGCUUAGAUAUGACAUAGAACACCAAUUGCGAAGGCAGCUUACUACACAGUUAUUGACACUGAGGCACGAAAAGCGUGGGGAUCAAACAGG